AUACGGAGGGUGCAAGCGUUACUCGGAAUCACUGGGCGUAAAGCGCGCGCAGGCGGCUAUUUAAGUUGGAUGUGAAAGCCUACGGCUCAACCGUAGAACUGCAUCCAAAACUAUUUAGCUAGAGUGUGGGAGAGGAAGAUGGAAUUAGUUGUGUAGGGGUAAAAUCCGUAGAGAUAACUAGGAAUACCAAAAGCGAAGGCAAUCUUCUGGAACACUACUGACGCUGAGGCGCGAAAGCGUGGGGGGCAAACGGGAUUAGAAACCCUUGUAGUCC
rnacentral:rRNA from 1 species